rnacentral:rRNA from 1 species
GACGAACGCUGGCGGCGUGCUUAACACAUGCAAGUCGAACGGAAAGGCCCUGCUUUUGUGGGGUGCUCGAGUGGCGAACGGGUGAGUAACACGUGAGUAACCUGCCCUUGACUUUGGGAUAACUUCAGGAAACUGGGGCUAAUACCGGAUAGGAGCUCCUGCUGCAUGGUGGGGGUUGGAAAGUUUCGGCGGUUGGGGAUGGACUCGCGGCUUAUCAGCUUGUUGGUGGGGUAGUGGCUUACCAAGGCUUUGACGGGUAGCCGGCCUGAGAGGGUGACCGGCCACAUUGGGACUGAGAUACGGCCCAGACUCCUACGGGAGGCAGCAGUGGGGAAUAUUGCACAAUGGGCGGAAGCCUGAUGCAGCAACGCCGCGUGCGGGAUGACGGCCUUCGGGUUGUAAACCGCUUUCGCCUGUGACGAAGCGUGAGUGACGGUAAUGGGUAAAGAAGCACCGGCUAACUACGUGCCAGCAGCCGCGGUGGUACGUAGGGUGCGAGCGUUGUCCGGAUUUAUUGGGCGUAAAGGGCUCGUAGGUGGUUGAUCGCGUCGGAAGUGUAAUCUUGGGGCUUAACCCUGAGCGUGCUUUCGAUACGGGUUGACUUGAGGAAGGUAGGGGAGAAUGGAAUUCCUGGUGGAGCGGUGGAAUGCGCAGAUAUCAGGAGGAACACCAGUGGCGAAGGCGGUUCUCUGGGCCUUUCCUGACGCUGAGGAGCGAAAGCGUGGGGAGCGAACAGGCUUAGAUACCCUGGUAGUCCACGCUGUAAACGGUGGGUACUAGGUGUGGGGUCCAUUCCACGGGUUCCGUGCCGUAGCUAACGCUUUAAGUACCCCGCCUGGGGAGUACGGCCGCAAGGCUAAAACUCAAAGGAAUUGACGGGGCCCCGCACAAGCGGCGGAGCAUGCGGAUUAAUUCGAUGCAACGCGUAGAACCUUACCUGGGUUUGACAUGGAUCGGGAGCGCUCAGAGAUGGGUGUGCCUCUUUUGGGGUCGGUUCACAGGUGGUGCAUGGCUGUCGUCAGCUCGUGUCGUGAGAUGUUGGGUUAAGUCCCGCAACGAGCGCAACCCUUGUUCACUGUUGCCAGCACGUUAUGGUGGGGACUCAGUGGAGACCGCCGGGGUUAACUCGGAGGAAGGUGGGGAUGACGUCAAGUCAUCAUGCCCCUUAUGUCCAGGGCUUCACGCAUGCUACAAUGGCUGGUACAGAGAGUGGCGAGCCUGUGAGGGUGAGCGAAUCUCGGAAAGCCGGUCUCAGUUCGGAUUGGGGUCUGCAACUCGACCUCAUGAAGUCGGAGUCGCUAGUAGUCGCAGAUCAGCAACGCUGCGGUGAAUACGUUCCCGGGGCU